CUGAGGGUAGUGGGAACCCCCACAUCUGUAGCCAGGUAGGCAGCACGUUGGUCAGCUGGCAGCUUACGGGGUGCCACCUCGCCCCUAGGACACCCUUCUGCCAGUGAGUCCAGCUCAGCCAAAGCCAGAGCUCACCUGACUGCAAAUCUCACCAGUGUGACAAGAGUGACAGAGCCACCGGCCCCUGCUCUGCAACACCAAGAGGAUCAACAUUACUCACCACCGCUCGUGCAAGAAGAAGGGUCCACCGCCAGCACAGACAGCCUGUGCCCUCUCGCAGGCCACCAAGCCCAAUGGAGCAUCUGAGUGACAGAGCUGCAGCGGCUACCUUUCCUGAAGGCUGAUCACCUGCGAGGUGGUGUUCCUGCUCUUGCAGGGAAGACUUGUGAUGUGACAGAAGAACUCUAACUUGACAGUUUUCUGUGAUCCAGUCUUUCAGCCACUACAGAUGGAGAACCUACUGUGUGCCUCGGCACCGUGCCAGGCACUAGAACAUCCCAUGUGGGGAUGACUUCAUGACGUCUGCCAUCCAGCCAAGACAGUGCCGACCUCCAGGCUUCUCUUGGGAUGACUCUCAUCUACUCUCACCACACAGCUCCAAGCACUCUGAUCUGCACACAGGCCCCAGAAUUGGCCACAAUAAAGCUUGGCCA